UACGGAGGGGACUAGCGUUGUUCGGAAUUACUGGGCGUAAAGCGCACGUAGGCGGAUUUGUAAGUCAGGGGUGAAAUCCCGGGGCUCAACCUCGGAACUGCCUUUGAUACUGCAAGUCUCGAGUCCGGAAGAGGUGAGUGGAAUUCCUAGUGUAGAGGUGAAAUUCGUAGAUAUUAGGAAGAACACCAGUGGCGAAGGCGGCUCACUGGUCCGGUACUGACGCUGAGGUGCGAAAGCGUGGGGAGCAAACAGG
rnacentral:rRNA from 1 species